ACGAACGCUGGCGGCGUGCUUAACACAUGCAAGUCGAACGGUGAAGCGCCUUCCUUUUUGGUGGGUGUGGAUGAGUGGCGAACGGGUGAGUAACACGUGAGUAACCUGCCCCCUUCUUCUGGAUAACCGCAUGAAAGUGUGGCUAAUACGUGAUAUUCUGGGUCUGUCGCAUGAUGGGUCUGGGAAAGAUAUUGUUUCGGUGGGGGAUGGGCUCGCGGCCUAUCAGCUUGUUGGUGGGGUGAUGGCCUACCAAGGCGGUGACGGGUAGCCGGCCUGAGAGGGUGGACGGUCACACUGGGACUGAGACACGGCCCAGACUCCUACGGGAGGCAGCAGUGGGGAAUAGUGCACAAUGGGCGCAAGCCUGAUGCAGCGACGCCGCGUGAGGGAUGGAGGCCUGCGGGUUGUGAACCUCUUUCGCCAGUGAAGCAGGCCUGCCUCGUUUGUGGGUGGGUUGACGGUAGCUGGAUAAGAAGCGCCGGCUAACUACGUG
rnacentral:rRNA from 1 species